UUAGUACAUCAUAAAGAUAGCCGGAAUUUUUGUAUCUUAUAUUUUAUUUAGUUUGUAUUGUUUUGAGAAAAGAGGUCCCUAUAGCAAAGCUAGAAUACUAUAAAAUUCCGAUAAGAACAUAUUUUGAGCUGUAAAAGCUUCCAAGGACCUUUUCUUUUCCUAUGUUUUAGUUUUAGCAGUCUAAAUUCCGUGCUCUUCUUGUAACUCGGGACUCUUUUCCGUUGUAAUUGUUUGAUUUUUUGAAAGAAAAAUCUUUCGGUGCAACCAGAUCCUCCUUGACAAAGUUUACGAGUUCUUAGAAAUCGGAGGCUCUAAGAACAUAUUUUGAGCUGUAAAAGCUUCCAAGGACCUUUUCUUUUCCUAUGUUUUAGUUUUAGCAGUCUAAAUUCCGUGCUCUUUUUGUAACUCGGGACUCUUUUCCGUUGUAAUUGUUUGAUUUUUUGAAAGAAAAAUCUUUCGGUGCAACCAGAUCCUCCUUGACAAAGUUUACGAGUUCUUAGAAAUCGGAGGCUCUGAGGUUUGAUUGUAGUAUGUUUUCGUCUCUCGUCCUGUCUGAUUUUUUAUUGGUAAUGAGGUUUUUGUGCACAUGAUCGUCAUGUUUCUGUCUUUAUGUUCAUGAUUUGGCGUAUG
rnacentral:lncRNA from 1 species